GAUCAUGGUUAAAAAUUUUGGGUACGUGGGCUUCAAAUCAUCCACAUACAUAAUAGAAGAAGACAAAUUUCAUCACUUUUCCUAGAAAUUUCCAAGACCGACCGGUGCUCCUGUUACUUGCCUAUUUUCCAGAGCUUAUCUAUUACAACUCACCCAUGCAAAUCCUUUAUUACAACUCAUGAAGAGGUCUCUCAUAUUGAGAGCUUGGACUAUGAGAUCAAUGAGAAUGAUCUCUUCAAGCAUGACUGGAGAAGCAGAUCAAAAGUCCAAGUAUUGCAGUAUAUUUUCUUAAAAUGGACGCUGGCUUUCCUUGUUGGGCUUCUAACUGGCAUAAUUGCCACAUUCAUCAAUCUUGCAGUCGAGAAUAUUGCAGGGUACAAGCAUCUCUCCAUGGUUCGAUACAUAGA